AGUGCACCCUCGUUUUUGCUUUUCAUUUCUGGGCUAUGUUCAAUUCAUGGCAUUGAAAAAAUAUCUGACCUGUAUCUUGGCAAGACGAUUCUGGAUAUGGCUUUUGUAUAGCAAACUGGUGUCUGCAGCAGCGGUAGUGUCGCCUUCUCAUUUGCUUUGACAAAAAAUAUAGCAAAUCUGAGCCCUCGCGAAAAGGCCCGUGUAAUAGCUUGUUUGGCCGAGCUUCUAAAUUCAGCUUAUAUUGUAAUAGCCUGAUUGGCCGUGCUUCCAGAAUCAGCUUGUCAGCUUUAAGAAACUAACCCUUAUUUUUUGAGACCUCACAAGUAUGCAAUUAUGAGAAGGGUAAAGGUUAGCCCAGAAGAAUUAAAGAAAUGAGGCAAAAACAGAGAGUUUAGGGUUUCAUUUGAAAGGGUAGUUGCCCCUCUCUGUUUCACCAUCGAUUUUCCUCCGUUAUUAAAAAAACCAACAGCCCUUGCUUGUCUUUAUGACAAAAGCAGAAGCAGUAGAAAUGAUUUAAGUUAUAUAUCUGACAUAUCUAAUUGGAAACAGACUCUUUAGGGUUAAGGCUGCGUACACACAGUCCUCCCCUGACCCCAUUGGCGAGAUU
rnacentral:lncRNA from 1 species